GGGCUCUUCGUUCAACGGUUAGGACAUAUGUCUUAUAAACAUAUAACGAUAGUUCGACUCUAUCAGAGCCCA
rnacentral:tRNA from 4 species